AAUUAAUGAGCUUGAAUAAGUUUAUAUUUUGAAAAUAUAAGAAAGAAACCCUUUUCUAUUAAUUU
rnacentral:tRNA from 1 species